UUCAUGCAGCACCUACUAUGUGCCAGAUGUUGUUCUGGGGGUACCACAAGGAAUGAAAAAGAAUAAGUCCACGUGCUUUUGAAUUUGAAAUCUGUAGCAACUGGAGGUAUCUGCUGUGAAGCUAAUGAAGAUCACGGCACAACAGACCCACAGGAAGAACAAGUUAAGAUAAUGACUUUUCACCGAAGUACAAGUUAGCAUCACCUGGAAGACUUUACAAAGCAUGGUUGGCUGAGAGUCUGUGGGAGCAGAAGAGGAAACUGAGGCUUUAGGGAACUGUGGCACAUUGGCAAGGACACCCAGCUCAUCAACAGUGGUUCCUCACAGACACGGCUCAAUUUGCCUUCCCUGGAGCAGGAGGAAGGGUG